rnacentral:lncRNA from 10 species
UCUUGUUUCUAUUCUUUUAAUCGCUCCCUUCCUGGGUUUUAUAUUGCACGCCCGGUCUUCCAGCGUCAUGGUUACUGUAGUAAACAAACUGAAGGUCUGAAUGCAUCUUUUUCUCCCCCUGUAGCAUGAAGAGCAGUUCGCGGUAUCCGGUAGAUAGGAAGCACAAAUAGGCUCUCCUGUUCGUCCUCCAGGGGCCCACGCUAGCCCCUCACCUCCCCUGAAGCCUUUUCUAACCGCUGCGGCCUCCGUGGUCCCCCACGCCUGUGUUCCUGUAGGACGUUUACAGUUCACACGAUGUCUCAUCUCUCGGUAUAUGUCUCCCAGAAAUCUCAAUGUUAACAGAAACGAAAAUGGACGGCCAUAUGUCACAAGAGAAUGAAAUCUUUGCUCCCAAUCCCUGUCUUCAGAGCUGACCUAGAAGCCAGCCACUCCACUCAGACCCAAUUCGGAUCACUAUGUUCGUGAGGACUUUAACAGCAUCAGGAGCUCCCUCUGACUGCUAUAUGAAGAGAACUGCACUCCUGCCCGAGCAACAGAGCAAGACUGAAGAAGGAAGGAAGGAAGGAAGAAAGAAAGGAAGGAAGGAAGGAAGGGUUCUCCAGAGAAACAGAACUAAUAGAAGAAAUAACGUAAGAGAAAGAGAGAGAGAGAUUUAAAGAAUUGCCUCAUACAACUGGGGGUGCUGGCAAGUCGAAAAUCCCCAGAGCAAGCCAGCAGGCUUGAGAUUCUGGAUUACAAGAAAAAACAAAGUAUUGUAGGUAAAAACAAUACAGCCAAGAAACGUCAUCUUAUGUUUAUACAUUUAGAAGCAUCCUUUGGAGCAGGAAGAACUUAAAUUCUAAAUCUCAAGAUAGCUAAAACAGAUGCACUAUUCCAAGGAGCCAGCAAGGAAAAUACAAUCCUGCUUCUCAAACACAUCCCCUGGAAUUGGUCGCAAGUUAUCUUCAGAGAAGAGAAUUGUCACCAGAUUAAGAGAGUAAAGGACCCGAUGACAAGCACGCCUGCAUUGCAUUCACAGGGCUGGCUUUCAGUUCUCCAAAAAAUUCAUGUCAUUGCCUAAAAAUUACUAAUGGAAAUUGGUACGCAGACAGAUACAAUACUGUUGUUGUUUUUGGUUGUGGUUUUACUUCUACUAAAGCCCACAGCACUGCUGAGGAAUUAUCCUCUGAACUGAAAAGUCCUAAAGUUAGGCUUGUAUUUGACUUCAAACAAUAAACCCCAUGCUGAAAAUGGCUUCAGCAGAUACAGCUCUUCCCUCCAGUGAGCAGGCAGUGAGGAGCAGGCAACCCAGUCUCCUUCUGACUUCCUGUUUAUGUUCCAAGCAGGAAGAAGGGAGAAAGACAAGAAUGCAAAAGGCAGAAUGGGCAUCCAGUCUCAUCUGUCCGUUUUAAAAGCUUUCCUAGAAGCUCUACCCAGCAACUCCCACGCCCAUCUCAUUGACGAGAACUGGGUCACAUGACCACUACUCCUGGCGAAGGAGUCUAAGAGGUGAAUGUUUUCAUCUUCUUACUUCUCCAUUAGAGGAAAGCAGGGAGAAAGGAGUUGUGUGUGCCAGUGGGGCCAGUUCACAAUGUUUGCCACACUAGGGCUAUAAGAGAUCUUGGGUAAUUCUGCAAAUCUGUUUUUCUGCCCCACAUAAGAUUAUUUCCCAAAGAUAAUGCUCUCCUUUAGAGUAUGUGGUGAAUGCUGCAAUACAGAAAAGGAUCUCUUGCCCCUCACCCCUUCACAGCAGAACAAAACAGCAAGACUUUCCUUUUAGAAAGCAGAUGCCUUGGGAGCUACUUCACCUGGGGCCAAACGUAUCCUCUCAGCAGCAGAGGUGAUUAUUUUUCUUAAUUACUAUUGCUUUGCAUCUUGUUAUGUGAGCUGUCAGCGUCUUAAUUUAGCUGAUGACUUUCUACAAUCAUUUUAGAUUUAUUUGGUACCUAAUUUACUUAACAUAGCUUUUGCUGUGAAAGUUAAUCCGAGGCCCAAAAACUCUUAAUAAGCUCAAUAUUUUACAGUGAACACUACCCUGAGGAUUGCUUUAUGAAAAUGAUGACAAGGCGCAGGGUCUGUAGCUUUCAGAAUCAAUAAGUCACUGACUAAUGAAUUAGAAAGGUCUUGAACUUCUACUUCAGUGCAGGCUUCAUGUACCAGAUGCACAAAUGAGCAUUAGUAAAUGGAGCUGGUUCUUAGUAGAAAAUUUCCAUUAAUCCAACACCGAGUGUAGAAGAAUCUCUGUAGUCUUGUAAAUAGACUUAAGAAUAAUUAUUAAGAAUUAAGAAUUAUUGUGAUUAAUUAAUUAAUUAAAAUGAUACUGGUUUUGCCACCAUUUCUUCAGGUAUUUCUCUUAAGAUGAAACUGUUUUGUUUUUCUGUUUCUACCAGUCCUGACUUUUGAUAUCAAUGGAAAUCAGCUUAGCAAAAACAAACAAAACAAAACAAAACAAAACACCCCUUUGAGCUAUCUCUCUCCAUAUACCACUUAGGGGUGAGUUCAAAAUGCAGGGACCCCUUCUGUGUAUUUUACAAUCCAAGACUGAAAAUACAAAUGAAGAGGAACACAGAGCAAUCAUAAAACAGGCAUACCACUUGACAAUGCAGCUAGCUGCCCCACCGACUGGAGCACCUCACGUGUGUG